UCGAGCGGGCUCUUCGGAGCUAGUGGCGGACGGGUGAGUAACGCGUGAGAAUCUGCCUUCAGGUCUGGGACAACAGAAGGAAACUUCUGCUAAUCCCGGAUGAGCCCUUGGGUAAAAGAUAAAUUGCCUGGAGAUGAGCUCGCGUCUGAUUAGCUAGUUGGUGUGAUAAAAGCAUACCAAGGCGACGAUCAGUAGCUGGUCUGAGAGGAUGAGCAGCCACACUGGGACUGAGACACGGCCCAGACUCCUACGGGAGGCAGCAGUGGGGAAUUUUCCGCAAUGGGCGAAAGCCUGACGGAGCAAGACCGCGUGGGGGAGGAAAGCUCUAGGGUUGUAAACCCCUUUUCUUUGGGAAGAAGUACUGACGGUACCAAAGGAAUCAGCCUCGGCUAACUCCGUGCCAGCAGCCGCGGUAAUACGGAGGAGGCAAGCGUUAUCCGGAAUGAUUGGGCGUAAAGCGUCCGCAGGUGGCCAUGUAAGUCUGCUGUCAAAACCCAGGGCUUAACUCUGGUCAGGCAGUGGAAAC
rnacentral:rRNA from 1 species